ACAGGAUUAGCCGAAAACCUGUAUAAGAGAGUAGGCG
rnacentral:ncRNA from 1 species